CCGACCUUAGCUCAGUUGGUAGAGCGGAAGACUGUAGAUCUUUAGGUCGCUGGUUCGAUUACGGCAGGUCGGA
rnacentral:tRNA from 1 species